ACGCUCGACACCUACGGGGGGCAGCAGUGGGGAAUAUUGCACAAUGGGGGAAACCCUGAUGCAGCGACGCCGCGUGAGCGAAGAAGUAUUUCGGUAUGUAAAGCUCUAUCAGCAGGGAAGAAACUGACGGUACCUGACUAAGAAGCACCGGCUAAAUACGUGCCAGCAGCCACGGUAAUCUGAGCGGGCUGGCAAGGC
rnacentral:rRNA from 1 species